AGAGUUUGAUCCUGGCNCCCCNUNAAGGCUGGCGGCAGGCUUAACACAUGCAAGUCGNNCNCGUGUAGCAAUACACGAGUGGCGCACGGGUGAGUAACGCGUGGAUAUCUGCCUUUUGGUUCGGAAUAACCCCGGGAAACUGGGGCUAAUACCGGAUGGUUCCUUCGGGAUAAAGAUUUAUCGCCAAAAGAUGAGUCCGCGUACGAUUAGCUAGUUGGUGAGGUAAUGGCUCACCAAGGCGACGAUCGUUAGCUGGUCUGAGAGGAUGAUCAGCCACACUGGAACUGAGACACGGUCCAGACUCCUACGGGAGGCAGCAGUGGGGAAUCUUGCGCAAUGGGGGCAACCCUGACGCAGCGACGCCGCGUGAGUGAUGAAGGCCUUCGGGUUGUAAAGCUCUGUGGAGGGAGACGAAUAAGUGUUGGCUAAUAUCCAGCAUGAUGACGGUAUCCCUUUAGCAAGCACCGGCUAACUCUGUGCCAGCAGCCGCGGUAAGACAGAGGGUGCAAACGUUGUUCGGAAUUACUGGGCGUAAAGCGCGUGUAGGCUGCCCUGCAAGUCAGGUGUGAAAGCCCUGGGCUCAACCUAGGAAGUGCACUUGAAACUGCGGGGAUUGAGUGCUGGAGAGGGAAGCGGAAUUCUCGGUGUAGAGGUGAAAUUCGUAGAUAUCGAGAGGAACACCGGUGGCGAAGGCGGCUUCCUGGACAGUAACUGACGCUGAGACGCGAAAGCGUGGGGAGCAAACAGGAU
rnacentral:rRNA from 1 species